UAAACACAUGGAUGGCUGGGGUCAACCAGGGUGAAGAAAGCUCACAUAUUCCACUUGGCCUCAAACCACACCAGCUGUGCUCCUUUUUUCUCAUUAGACUCAGGCUUUUGGCUUUCACAAUUUCUUCCCUUAGCUUUUGUGUGCCUGCAGUGCUGAGGCCAGUGAGAAUCCUGUCAUGAAGGAUGGAGUUUCUUCUUGCUUUCACUCAUGUGUGUAACCUCAUAAGGAGCAUAGGGAAGGCAGCAGAAAUCCCUGCUAAGUCUAGGAGCCCAAGGGGAUGGACAAGAAGAAGCCUCUGUAGGGCUAAGUGUGUGCUUCUAGGGCCCAACCUUGGCUUUGAGUCAACUUUUUCAGCAGCAGAGAGCUUGUUGUAGAGCAAUGAAUUUCAACUGUGAAGAGUAGAGAAGCUCCUGAGGAUGUGGCCUGAACUCUCUAGGUUUAAAGACACUGCUGGACAUGGUUUUCUUUUCCUGACUGGGAG